rnacentral:misc_RNA from 1 species
GAAAUGCGAUAAGUAGUGUGAAUUGCAGAAUUCAGUGAAUCAUCGAAUCUUUGAACGCACAUUGCGCCCCUUGGUAUUCCAUGGGGCAUGCCUGUUCGAGCGUCAUCUACACCCUCAAGCUCUGCUUGGUGUUGGGCGUCUGUCCCCGCCUCCGCGCGCGGACUCGCCCCAAAUCCAUUGGCAGCGUCCCCUCGCCCCCCUCUCGCGCAGCACGAAUGCGCAUGACGAGGGAGCGGCUCCCGGGAUCGCGACCCACCCCCAAGAUGACCACCGUCCUUGACCUCGGAUCAGGUAGGGAUACCCGCUGAACUUAAGC